CAGUGGUGGCGGCAGUGGCCGCAGGGGUGUCAGUCCGACACCCCUCAGCAGUAUAAACGGAAUUGCACGACGUAUCGUGAGAAAUUAAUGCCAGCAAGUGGCGUCCAUAGAGGUGUCUCUUUACCGCAUCCGGCCUUCCCCCUUUUGCGGAGUCACCACUAGUUAAACACGACGAGAAGCUCAUGCGAAAACGACGUGCAUUCGACGUGCCAUCCGACCAUCCGUGACACACUCGAUCGAUCUUUACUCGUGGAAGUGACCUGCACACGGCGAAACAAUGGGAAUAGAACAUUCGUCGCGAGCGUAUUGACUACCUCGUUUACCUACUCUGCUCGUUUCUAACAUCAAAUCGAACCGACCGCCAUUAUUCACGGCGAGGUAAACUACAAAAUUUUAUUUAAGAGCAAGAGCGAUACCUCCAUCACCUGGAUGUCUUUGUUCUUUGUACUCGUACUUGUCUCGCGAUCAACAUCGGGCAUCAGCACGAGAUGAAAUGGUAUCGAUAAAUGUCGCGAUGAGUGUCCAUGUAUGGGGUCCCGCAAAGUUUUAACGCGUCUGGUCCUCUGGAGAGAUCGGCGAGGGCACACAGUUCGCUAGUUGCCAGCCAAUGUAAUAAACGUUACUAUGUUGCUACGCCCCAUUCACGCCCCCCUGCCAUACGUCGGC